rnacentral:lncRNA from 10 species
AAUUUAAUUCAACCUCCUCAUUGAAGAAGUGAGGAGACAAAGGGCCAGAGAAGUGCAUGUUUUUCUGAGAGACAAUGUCUCAAUAUGUUGCCCAGGCUGGUCUCGAACUCCUGAACUCAAGCAAUACUUCCACCUUGGCCUCCCAAAGUGCUGGGGUUACAGGCCUGAGCCACCACACCUGAUAAGAAGUCCUUUCUUAAUGGAAAGAACACAGGGCUAGGAGAAAGAAACUCAGGUGAGUCUCAGAUCAACCACCAACUCAUUGUGUGACUUAAGGAGGUUUCACCUUUCUCUAAACCUCUAUCUAAAUCUUUAACGUGAAACAAGAGCAGCAAUAUCUGACCUUCUGCCUUUUUGCCUCUGAGGUUAAAUAAUAUAAUCAAGUUAAACUGAGAGUAAAAAGUCAGAAAAGCAAUGAUGCAAUGAUUGCUGCUGCUAUUACCAAUUUGGAACUUCUCAUAGAAUACAGGGCUUUACUGAGAUAGGAAAGUCAUUGUGAAAGGCAUGAGUCACUCUGUGGGGCUUUGUAGCUGCAUCUCCUCAGACACUCCCAUGCC